rnacentral:sRNA from 1 species
UGCUUUUAGGUGCGGACAUACUGUCCCAAA